rnacentral:rRNA from 1 species
GACGAACGCUGGCGGCGUGCUUAACACAUGCAAGUCGAACGGAAAGACCCUGCUUUUGUGGGGUGCUCGAGUGGCGAACGGGUGAGUAACACGUGUGUAACCUGCCCUUGACUUUGGGAUAACUUCAGGAAACUGGGGCUAAUACCGGAUAGGAGCUCCUGCUGCAUGGUGGGGGUUGGAAAGUUUCGGCGGUUGGGGAUGGACUCGCGGCUUAUCAGCUUGUUGGUGGGGUAGUGGCUUACCAAGGCUUUGACGGGUAGCCGGCCUGAGAGGGUGACCGGCCACAUUGGGACUGAGAUACGGCCCAGACUCCUACGGGAGGCAGCAGUGGGGAAUAUUGCACAAUGGGCGGAAGCCUGAUGCAGCAACGCCGCGUGCGGGAUGACGGCCUUCGGGUUGUAAACCGCUUUCGCCUGUGACGAAGCGUGAGUGACGGUAAUGGGUAAAGAAGCACCGGCUAACUACGUG